rnacentral:rRNA from 1 species
AGUGAACGCUGGCGGUAGGCCUAACACAUGCAAGUCGAACGGCAGCACAGUAAGAGCUUGCUCUUACGGGUGGCGAGUGGCGGACGGGUGAGGAAUACAUCGGAAUCUACUUUUUCGUGGGGGAUAACGUAGGGAAACUUACGCUAAUACCGCAUACGACCUACGGGUGAAAGCAGGGGAUCUUCGGACCUUGCGCGAUUGAAUGAGCCGAUGUCGGAUUAGCUAGUUGGCGGGGUAAAGGCCCACCAAGGCGACGAUCCGUAGCUGGUCUGAGAGGAUGAACAGCCACAACGGAAACGAGAACCGGUACCAACUCCUACGGGAGGGCGCAGUUGGGAAUUUUUGACCAAGGGCGGCAACCUGAUCCCACCAUACCGGGUUGGGGAAGAAAGCCUUCCGGUUGUUAAACCCUUUUGUUUGGGAAGGAAAGCAGGCGGUUUAUUCCCCGGCGGUCCUGCGGGUCCCAAAGAAUAAGCACCGGCUAAAUUCGUG